rnacentral:rRNA from 1 species
CUACAGGCUUAACACAUGCAAGUCGAGGGGCAGCAUGGUCUUAGCUUGCUAAGGCCGAUGGCGACCGGCGCACGGGUGAGUAACACGUAUCCAACCUGCCGUCUACUCUUGGACAGCCUUCUGAAAGGAAGAUUAAUACAAGAUGGCAUCAUGAGUCCGCAUGUUCACAUGAUUAAAGGUAUUCCGGUAGACGAUGGGGAUGCGUUCCAUUAGAUAGUAGGCGGGGUAACGGCCCACCUAGUCUUCGAUGGAUGGGGGUUCUGAGAGGAAGGUCCCCCACAUUGGAACUGAGACACGGUCCAAACUCCUACGGGAGGCAGCAGUGAGGAAUAUUGGUCAAUGGGCGAGAGCCUGAACCAGCCAAGUAGCGUGAAGGAUGACUGCCCUAUGGGUUGUAAACUUCUUUUAUAAAGGAAUAAAGUCGGGUAUGCAUACCCGUUUGCAUGUACUUUAUGAAUAAGGAUCGGCUAACUCCGUGCCAGCAGCCGCGGUAAUACGGAGGAUCCGAGCGUUAUCCGGAUUUAUUGGGUUUAAAGGGAGCGUAGAUGGAUGUUUAAGUCAGUUGUGAAAGUUUGCGGCUCAACCGUAAAAUUGCAGUUGAUACUGGAUAUCUUGAGUGCAGUUGAGGCAGGCGGAAUUCGUGGUGUAGCGGUGAAAUGCUUAGAUAUCACGAAGAACUCCGAUUGCGAAGGCAGCCUGCUAAGCUGCAACUGACAUUGAGGCUCGAAAGUGUGGGUAUCAAACAGGAUUAGAUACCCUGGUAGUCCACACGGUAAACGAUGAAUACUCGCUGUUUGCGAUAUACGGCAAGCGGCCAAGCGAAAGCGUUAAGUAUUCCACCUGGGGAGUACGCCGGCAACGGUGAAACUCAAAGGAAUUGACGGGGGCCCGCACAAGCGGAGGAACAUGUGGUUUAAUUCGAUGAUACGCGAGGAACCUUACCCGGGCUUAAAUUGCAGAUGAAUUACGGUGAAAGCCGUAAGCCGCAAGGCAUCUGUGAAGGUGCUGCAUGGUUGUCGUCAGCUCGUGCCGUGAGGUGUCGGCUUAAGUGCCAUAACGAGCGCAACCCUUGUUGUCAGUUACUAACAGGUUCCGCUGAGGACUCUGACAAGACUGCCAUCGUAAGAUGUGAGGAAGGUGGGGAUGACGUCAAAUCAGCACGGCCCUUACGUCCGGGGCUACACACGUGUUACAAUGGGGGGUACAGAGGGCCGCUACCACGCGAGUGGAUGCCAAUCCCAAAAACCUCUCUCAGUUCGGACUGGAGUCUGCAACCCGACUCCACGAAGCUGGAUUCGCUAGUAAUCGCGCAUCAGCCACGGCGCGGUGAAUACGUUCCCGGGCCUUGUACACACCGCCCGUCAAGCCAUGGGAGCCGGGGGUACCUGAAGUGCGUAACCGCGAGGAGCGCCCUAGGGUAAAACUGGUGACUGGGGCU